rnacentral:misc_RNA from 1 species
CACGCCAGAGUGUGUCCACUCAGAUAAAAUCCAUCUCACCCUUUUGUGCACCACCGCGCUGGGCGCCCUUCGGGAUCAAACCGAUCCAGGAGGGGGCUUGCGUUCUCACACAAACCCCUUUUUAAAAAGUUGUAAAAUGACCCCAUUUUUGCCAUUACACGCAAUCAAUACAACUUUCAACAACGGAUCUCUUGGCUCUCGCAUCUAUCAAAAACGCAACGAAAUGCGAUACGUAAUGUGAAUUGCGGAAUUCAGUGAAUCAUCGAAUCUUUGAACGCACCUUGCGCCCCUUGGUAUUCCGAGGGGCACACCCGUUUGAGUGUCUUGAAAGUCUCAACCUCCUCGGUUUCUUCUGGACACCGAAGGAGGCUUGGACUUUGGAGGCCUUUGCUGGCGUCUCUCGCCAGCUCCUCUCAAAUGAAUUAGCGGGGUCCUCUUUGCCGAUCCUCGACAUGUGAUAAGAUGUUUCCAUGUCUUGGUUUCUGGGUCUGUUGCUUUUGGGACCCGCUUCUAACCGUCUCAACCCGAGACAAUGUAUGAGCGGGUCUCCCUUCUCGGGAA